rnacentral:rRNA from 1 species
AUGCCUCGGUUCACCUGCUUCCUGAUGUCCAAUUAUUUUUUGUUGUUGCUAUAUUCAACCUCAUCUCUGAAAGCCUACACCUUCCUGUGCUGUUGCUAUAUUCACGAGUUUGACAGGAGAAGGGACUGGAGGCAUACAGUAGGCAGAACAGUGGAACAAAACUCAGCUUCAAUUAAUCGACAUGGUGUUCGCAAAUGGAAAGUCGAGUUGGUGGACACAAUGGACAAUAAGCCCAUGAAGCUCCAGAAGUCCAGAUUUGGAUACGUUUUACUGAUCUGGACACACCACCUUCUCAGGUCUAAAAUUUUGAGUUUUCAGGUCUAA